UACGUAGGGGGCGAGCGUUGUCCGGAAUUAUUGGGCGUAAAGAGCGUGUAGGCGGUUUGGUAAGUCUGCUGUGAAAACCUGGGGCUCAACCCCGGGCGUGCGGUGGAUACUGCCGGGCUAGAGGGUGGUAGAGGCGAGUGGAAUUCCUGGUGUAGCGGUGAAAUGCGCAGAUAUCAGGAAGAACACCCGUGGCGAAGGCGGCUCUCUGGGACGGUACUGACGCUGAGGCGCGAAAGCGUGGGGAGCGAACAGG
rnacentral:rRNA from 1 species